rnacentral:rRNA from 1 species
GAUCUCAAAUCAGGCGGACUACCCGCUGAACUUAA